rnacentral:rRNA from 1 species
UGAUAGAAUACCCUAUACAAUCAAUAGGUUUGCCUACGUAGCCCCCGCGGCGACAUUUAAACAAUCGCUUCGGUUCUCACCACUACGUGAGAGCAACACCGUUUAAGUGCUGAGAUUGCCUGGUGAUACCUCGCACUACCAGCAGCCAGCGCUUCGCCGCCUGGUUCACAGAUCACCCGACGGUGGCCCCGCUAGGCUAAGAUAUGACCGGUCCCCCGCCCCGAGCGUUGGGAUUUGCGGAACCUGCGGAAGGAUCAUUACCGAGAGACGGGGUCUAAUCGGCCCCAACUCUUCACCCGUGUCUACGUUACUCAUGUUGCUUUGGCGGGUCUUGGGGCUCCACCCAGAGAAGUAUACUGCUUUUUAGUGCCCGCCAAAAGCCUUGUUCAAUCCUGUAUCAGUGUCGUCGGAGUAAUUUUAUAAUAACUAAAACUUUCAACAACGGAUCUCUUGGUUCUGGCAUCGAUGAAGAACGCAGCGAAAUGCGAUAAGUAAUGUGAAUUGCAGAAUUCCGUGAAUCAUCGAAUCUUUGAACGCACAUUGCGCCCUUUGGUAUUCCGAAGGGCAUGCCUGUUCGAGCGUCAUUGCAACCCUCAAGCACUGCUUGGUAUUGGGUCCCGUCCACCGGACGUGCCCGAAAUUCGUAGGCGGUCCAGCGAGACUUCAAGCGCAGUAAGAUUUCUGUAUCCCGCUUUGGAAGCUUCUCGUUGCGUGUCGGCCAAUCAACCCACAAACUUUUCAAUGGUUGACCUCGGAUCAGGUAGGGAUACCCGCUGAAC